rnacentral:misc_RNA from 1 species
UCUCUUAGGAGGCAAUUUGCGUAAUAUGUAAAGAACUAAUGCUGAAGGCAGAAUUUCGACCAACAAGUAGUAGAUGAAAUUCAGAAGGGGGUGAUCUAAAACAUCAAGUGAUGCAUCUGCAUCAAAAGCAGAUAAGGCAACCACAAAGCAUCGAAUGAGGAAGCAGGUAAAGCAUAUGGCAGUUACAGAUCCAACCUCAUGAAGUUUCUUCCUCCUCCCUUUAGAUUCAAUUGGAAAACGUCUAAGCAUGAAAAAUAAUCUUCCACCAUAUAUCAAGAAGCCUACUGCAGCUACGAACGACACCACUGCAAUGAAAAUUUUUCCAACGAAUUCCACCACACUGUUGUCAUUGACCCCGAUGUAUACCCAAAUGCAAACCUGUAUGAGAUAUAUCACACUGUUGAUUGAAAUGUAAACCGUCCUCAGUUUAUCUGUUGGCAGACUUCUUGCCUGGUGGUAUAUCUCUGCCCAGAAGAGGACCAGGAGUGUGUAUGUUGAGAAAAAAAGAAGACCAGGAAGUUCCAAUAAUAACAAUAGCAGAACCUUUGUUUGCAAAAGAAACACUUGCUUGUGGAGCCCAAACACAAUUGCACGUACUCCAUUAACAAUGAAGUUCAUGAGAUGGAAAACUUUCUGUGUUGUCCAGCCAUAUUCCGGAACUCUCAGUUCGAUCCUUAUCAAUUGAAUCAAAGCAACGGCGGAGACUAGCGCGUAUACAGCACAUAGAGAGUAGAAUAUCCGAUCCUGCCAAAAAGUAGAUUCGUUGAUAUCAUUCCACCAGCUGGAUGUCGUAACUCCCAUCUCCAUGGCCGUCGUCAUGUUCAACUGCAAUCUCGCCAUUAUUCCCAAAUAGUAAACAAGUUUUCUCACUAUCGCCCUCUCUCUCCGCCGUAGAGUCAGAGAACCAAGAAUCUGAUGAAUUGACACGACCAAGCAAACGCCGGCGAGGAAAGAGGGGAAAG